rfam:Chryseobacterium solincola strain DSM 22468 contig03, whole genome shotgun sequence.
UUCCAGCCCCGAUUGCAGCGGCAUCCUUUUGCGGAACGAAGUGCAGCAAAAGAUACAGCGGAAAGCGGGUUGAAAU